rnacentral:lncRNA from 1 species
GGACUCAUAUGAACCUUCUAAAAACGACUUUGUUCUUAGAUGUGAAUUAUUGGUUUACUACUUACUGGUACCAAAAUGAAAUUUUUCAGGUGGUCAAAGGAAUAUCUACCACACAAAACCUUCUAAAACGAGGCUUACAGAUUCUACAUCAUGCAACGACUAUUUAUCAGGGCCCGAAGUCGGCCAAGCUUUGUGUGAGGGCAUGGAAGAAAGGAAAUGCAGAAAAUCUAGUUCCUGUCGGAAAUAAUUCAAAGUCAGAAAGGGACGAAAGACAAUCAUUCCUAGCCCAGUAGGCUACACUUUUUAAUAGAGAUGUCGUUUGUAACACCAGGGGGACAUCCUCUUAUUUCUCCCUAAACUGAAUUUUAAGUUCCCCGAGUUCCCAUCUACUGGAUUCAGGAGGAAAUCCCUCUCAGACAUGAGAUGCUACUCCUCGAAGUCCAUUCAAAAGUUGCAAGGUCGGGAAUUUCAGACAGCCAAUUAAUCAUGAAAGGGUGUUAUGACCUUCAUUCAUCUCACUCUGGCUCAAGUCUAAUAGACUCCUCGUCGUCUAAGCCAUGUAUUCCCUGAAGUCUGGGGCUUCCCUGAAACUCAUGAGGCUCAGCUUUAAGGGCUCAGACACUCUAAGUUGAGCUUCCCAGUGUGAAUCUCCCAGGCACCCGUCAGUGGAGGUCUCUGUAUGUAAGAGCUCUUCCAGUCUCAGAGAAAGUUCUCCAAACUUCUCUCCACUCCAGGGUUUUCACCUCCCAUCCUCCACGUGCCUCCAGCAUGACCUCAGAGAAAGCUUCUCAAAGUCACUUCCAGCCCCCCAGCCCUCAGAAACUCAAGUAGAAUGGUUUUCUUGAACUUAGAUGAGUAAAGGAGAUGGCUAGCACCAAUCUCCCUCCCUCACCACUUUGAAUUCACUGUUAGAGUGAAGGGUUGAGGUGUUAAGGCAUUUUAGAGGAGAGGAUCUAACUUAGCUGAAGAAAGCUUUGAAGAAGCAAAAUGUUGCGAUAAGCCCAGCAAAGAAAAGGGAAAGGGUAGGAGAAUGCUUCAAGAUAACACAACAUCAACAGGACAUGAGAAGCUCUGGAGAGCCUUGUGAGAGUGCCCCAGGGUAAGAAAGCAGAAAGGGGUUGGUUCAGAAUGGUUACAUGCAAUGGCUGGGAAUUCGGUUAGAAAGAUGGUUCAUGACAAACCAUGCUGAGGAAUUUAAUUUCAUCCUGACAGAAAUGGAGAACCAUCCAUUCAAUGUGUGAAAAGGGUUAGUAACUACUGUUACAAAAUUGUCACUUUUGGUGAGUUUGCACAUAUGAACCCAUUUGUGCUGUAAUAUGGCUUUCUUUAAUACCUAGG